rnacentral:misc_RNA from 1 species
AUACAAACCCUAAUUUGUCAUUUCCAAAUAAAUUAGGCAUCAUGUAAAAUUUGUAUCGAAACUUUCUAAUGUAAAUGAUACUUUAGCCACACAUUAAACCGAACCCAUAAAUACUAAUGCAGAUUAUUCAAGCCAGAUUGUGAGGCAAAAAUUAGUCCAAAACCUGCUUUAGAAGAUGCUCCGCAAGAAGAAAAUUCGACGGGGUUUCCCCCUGGAAGGGCAGCAAGGAUAAAAUUAUAUGCUUAUGCGCAUGCUGAUGCAGGCCGUUCCAGGAAGUCUUAGGCCAGUCACAAUCAUACUUUGCUCGUGGUUACUGUAUUGGUUAUUCCAUGUGAAUAGU